rnacentral:rRNA from 1 species
GAUGAACGCUGGCGGCGUGCCUAAUACAUGCAAGUCGAGCGAACAGACGAGGAGCUUGCUCCUUUGACGUUAGCGGCGGACGGGUGAGUAACACGUGGGUAACCUACCUAUAAGACUGGGAUAACUUCGGGAAACCGGAGCUAAUACCGGAUAAUAUUUCGAAUCGCAUGGUUCGAUAGUGAAAGAUGGCUUUGCUAUCACUUAUAGAUGGACCUGCGCCGUAUUAGCUAGUUGGUAAGGUAACGGCUUACCAAGGCAACGAUACGUAGCCGACCUGAGAGGGUGAUCGGCCACACUGGAACUGAGACACGGUCCAGACUCCUACGGGAGGCAGCAGUAGGGAAUCUUCCGCAAUGGGCGAAAGCCUGACGGAGCAACGCCGCGUGAGUGAUGAAGGUCUUCGGAUCGUAAAACUCUGUUAUUAGGGAAGAACAAACGUGUAAGUAACUGUGCACGUCUUGACGGUACCUAAUCAGAAAGCCACGGCUAACUACGUG